CGAACGGGUGAGUAAUGCGUGACCAACCUGCCCCAUGCUCCAGAAUAGNUCUUGGAAACGGGUGGUAAUGCUGGAUGCUCCAACUUGACGCAUGUCUUGUUGGGAAAGUGUUUAGUGGCAUGGGAUGGGGUCGCGUCCUAUCAGCUUGUAGGCGGGGUAAUGGCCCACCUAGGCUUCGACGGGUAGCCGGCCUGAGAGGGCGGACGGCCACAUUGGGACUGAGAUACGGCCCAGACUCCUACGGGAGGCAGCAGGA
rnacentral:rRNA from 1 species